GGGGGUGAACGGUUUCGACUCCGGACGUUGAGUCAGGGGAAGCGUGCAGGUGCAGGCAGGAGACCACCUCAAGCGUCGCUGCAAACCAAUAAGCGCCAACAAGAGUCGCGCUGACUUCGCCCUGGCCGCCUGAGCUAGGUAGCGAAGUUGUCGGCCCGGGGGUGCCUCCGCCCCGGUCGCUGGCAUCAUUGAGGAGGCUCACCGUCAGGCCCGGUCGCGGGGCCUGAGCGGGACACCCACAGCGACUGGGCCCGUCACACCGGCUCGUCCGCGUGACCGGUGGGGCCGAGCAGAGGCACAGCGGACUGCGCACGGAGAAGUCCUGGCAAGGCGACGGAGGACGCGGGUUCGAUUCCCGCCACCUCCAC
rnacentral:tmRNA from 1 species